rnacentral:lncRNA from 1 species
AUAGGGAGCCCCGACUCGUUCCCUCUUUCUCUUUUACGGCUCUAAUGUGAAUGGCCUGAUGCGAAGGAAACGUGCAUGCCAUCGGUGAACUUGCGAUACGACCUUAAUGCACUCUCACAUGAUGCGAAUUACGUGGAGUACCGGGCGCGUGAUGCCUCGAUUUCCUUGUUACCACUACCACAUCCGAACGUUUAAUGCACGAGAAAGUGAACGAGAACUGAAUGGCACCUUGCCGCUCUUUGUGCGUCAAUGUUUUUACACGUCAAAAGUGUCAUCUCGACAAGACUCGUCACGAAGAAGACCAGCGAUUAGUGUUGUUUAAGAGCAAGAUGAGGCAACCUCGAUGCUUUCCCCGCCAUGACGCGUUGGUUAAUAAGGUCAUAAGUCGUAAUCGAAGUCCCAGAAGGAGUAGAAGGGCACUUUGGAGAAGUUCUCGGACGUCGCCGGCAAGACCAGCGAGGAGAUGACGGGCUUGUGAAUCUGCGGCUUCGUCGACGGGACCGGAUGCACGAAGUGCGGCAGUGGUGGAGCCGGAUCUACUAGACAUCAACGUUUAAACGAGUUUCCAAGCACGUUAGAAUGUGCUCUUCUUGCGAUAACACGUAAAUCACGAUGAUUAGAGAAUUUUUAAUUAAAAUCCAAUCGAGAGUAAUUUCUCGCUUUCCGGCUAAAGCUUAGAACCAUGGACAGGAUCAUUGUACAGCGAAUCGCUCUUGGGUCGAGGAUCUGGACCGUUGGAGGUACCUGUCGCAAUAGAUCCCUAUUGACCUACCUUGAUUACUUGAUCGGGCAUCGAAGUCACC